rnacentral:rRNA from 1 species
UGGGGAAUUUUCCGCAAUGGGCGAAAGCCUGACGGAGCAAUACCGCGUGAGGGAGGAAGGCUUUUGGGUUGUAAAGCUCUUUUACCAGGGAUGAUAAUGACAGUACCUGGAGAAUAAGCUCCGGCUAACUCCGUGCCAGCAGCCGCGGUAAUACGGAGGGAGCUAGCGUUGUUCGGAAUUACUGGGCGUAAAGCGCGCGUAGGCGGCUAUCCAAGUCAGGGGUGAAAUCCCGGGGCUCAACCCCGGAACUGCCCUUGAAACUAGGUAGCUAGAAUACUGGAGAGGUGAGUGGAAUUCCGAGUGUAGAGGUGAAAUUCGUAGAUAUUCGGAAGAACACCAGUGGCGAAGGCGACUCACUGGACAGUUAUUGACGCUGAGGUGCGAAAGCGUGGGGAGCAAACAGGAUUAGAUACCCGUGUAGUCC